rnacentral:misc_RNA from 1 species
GAUGAAGAACGCAGUGAAAUGCGAUACUUGGUGUGAAUUGCAGAAUCCCGUGAACCAUCGAGUCUUUGAACGCAAGUUGCGCCCGAAGCCAUUAGGCCGAGGGCACGCCUGCCUGGGUGUCACACACCGUUACCCUCGCGCCAACGUCCAUCGUUGGCCGCGGCGCGGGGCGUGCGCUGACCUCCCGCGAGCGGGGUCUCGUGGUUGGUUGAAAAUCGAGUUCGCGGUCGAGGGUGCCGUGAUGAAAUGGUGGAUGGGCGACGCCCGAGGCCAAUCACGCGCGACUCUGUCCGGCCCGGACUCCUGGACCCCUUCGGCGUCUCCGGACGCUCUUUGGCGAGACCUCAGGUCAGGCGGGGCUACCCGCUGAGUUUAAGCAUAUCAAUAAGCGGAGGA